GACGAACGCUGGCGGCGUGCUUAACACAUGCAAGUCGAGCGGUAAGGCCCUUUCGGGGGUACACGAGCGGCGAACGGGUGAGUAACACGUGGGUGACCUGCCUUUAGCUCUGGGAUAAGCCUGGGAAACUGGGUCUAAUACCGGAUACGACUCCGCGGUGCAUGCUGUGGGGUGGAAAGCCUUGUGCGGCUGGAGAUGGGCCCGCGGCCUAUCAGCUUGUUGGUGGGGUGAUGGCCUACCAAGGCGACGACGGGUAGCCGGCCUGAGAGGGCGACCGGCCACACUGGGACUGAGAUACGGCCCAGACUCCUACGGGAGGCAGCAGUGGGGAAUCUUGCGCAAUGGGGCGAAAGCCUGACGCAGCGACGCCGCGUGAGGGAUGACGGCCU
rnacentral:rRNA from 1 species